rnacentral:rRNA from 1 species
GUUUACGGCCACGCCACCCUGAAUGAGCCCAAUCCCUUCUGAUCUCAGGAGCUAAGCAGGGUCGGGCCUGGUUAGUACUUGGAUGGGAGACCACCUAGGAAGACCAGGUGCUAUAGGCG